UACAGAGGGUGCAAGCGUUAAUCGGAAUUACUGGGCGUAAAGCGUGCGUAGACGGUUAUGUAAGUCAGAUGUGAAAGCCCCGGGCUCAACCUGGGAAUUGCAUUUGAGACUGCAUAGCUAGGGUGCGGAAGAGGGAAGCGGAAUUUCCGGUGUAGCGGUGAAAUGCGUAGAUAUCGGAGGGAACACCAGUGGCGAAAGCGGCUUCCUGGUCCAGCACCGACGUUCAGGCACGAAAGCGUGGGGAGCAAGCAGG
rnacentral:rRNA from 1 species